GACGAACGCUGGCGGCGUGCCUAAUACAUGCAAGUAGGACGCAGUUGCGAACGGGUGAGUAACGCGUAGGUAACUGCCUAUUAGAGGGGGAUAACUAUUGGAAACGAUAGCUAAUACCGCAUACUAGUAGAUGGACCUGCGUUGUAUUAGCUAGUAGGUAGGGUAAUGGCCUACCUAGGCAACGAUACAUAGCCGACCUGGGUGGGUGAUCGGCCAAACUGGGAAUGGUACACGGCCCAGACUCCUACGGGAGGCAGCAGUAGGGAAUCUUCGGCAAUGGGGGGAACGCUGAACGAGCAAAGCCGCGUGGGUGGAGAAAGUUUUCGGAUCGUAAAGCUCUGUUGUUAAGGAAGCGGUACUUAACGAGAAAGGGACGGCUAACUACGUGCCAGCAGCCGCGGUAAUAC
rnacentral:rRNA from 1 species